rnacentral:lncRNA from 1 species
CCCAUCCCUCAGUGGUUCACCCCCCACAUCCACAAACAUGCUCAAGUCUUCCCUGUCUUCCAAAAGGAGGCCCACCCCAGUUCUUUUUCUCCUUCUACCACUCCCCCCUUUCUCCCUUAUUUCACCCCCAAACCUUUGGGGACAAAAAUUAUUUUAUGUGUUCUUUCCAUCCAGUUCUCCCCACAGAUAACUUGAUCAUUGGACAGACUUGGAUCGCAGCUCUCACUCUGCCACUGGGUUAUGGUCUGACCUUGAUCAAAUCGUAAGCCUCUCAGCCUCCUCAUCUGUAAAAUGGGGAUAUUGCUACACUUCCCUCCUGGGCUCUUCGCAACCACGAGAUAAAGAAUCUGAGUUACAGUGUCAUUGCCUGCUGUCUCCCCAGGACCUUGCAUGGUCCUGGCAUGUGUAGACAACACACAGUAUCUGCCUUCAUACUCAAGACUGCAACAUCGACCCUUCCCCGAGUUUCCAGGCUGCUGGCCUCCGUUACAGAUUUCAGGCUUGCCAAUGCCCACAAUCACAUGAGAAUAAUCUAUCUCGGAGAGCAAGCACCUGGAGGAUUAAAUGAGGCAACAUGAAGCACCCACACAGAGUAAUCACUCCAUACAGGAGGAUAGGAUUACUGUGGUUGACGCGAUUUUUAUUAUGAACCAGGUGGCUUUGGGCAAAUGGCAUAAUGUCUCUCCACCCCAUUUCCCUGAUCUCCAAAAAUAACAAUAAAAGCUUCACAGAGGGGCUCUGGGCAUUCAAUGAGAUAAAACAUGUAGCAUGAGGGUGCCUGGCUGGCUCAGUCUGGAGAGCAUGUGACUCCUGUCCUCCCGGUCGGGAGUUCGAGCCCCACGUUGAGCGUAGAGAUUACCUCAACAAAUUAAUUAAUUAAUUAAAAUCAAAAUAAAACAUGGAGCCUGACCCUACAUAGGCAACAGCUAUUACAGGUCAACAGCAUUUCUACGAUCAUCAUCAUGAUUUGCGCCGGCCCGCAGAGGUAAGCCCCUUGAUUCCUCGGGCUCUGAGGUAUCUGAGCAUCUGGGUGGAGAAGCCCGG